rnacentral:lncRNA from 1 species
GAUUAAGAACUUUUCUGAUCAUUUUUAGGAACCUAUGUUGGAUAAGCCCCAUUUGAAUAAGAUAUCUUUUUGGUUUCUCUCUUUGUCGACUGUGAUAUUUUUUUCGUCUCUUUUUCUUUAGAGAUUAAUACCAUGGUAUCUCUAUGUGACAGGAAUAAAAUCCUUGGCCCUGAUGAUUUUAAUCUUUCCUUCCUUAUGAGGUUUCAGUAUCUCUAGAGGGAGGAUAUGGGGACUUUAUUUGAUCAAUU